UAGGGAAUCUUCGGCAAUGGACGGAAGUCUGACCGAGCAACGCCGCGUGAGUGAAGAAGGUUUUCGGAUCGUAAAGCUCUGUUGUUAGAGAAGAACGUUGGUAGGAGUGGAAAAUCUACCAAGUGACGGUAACUAACCAGAAAGGGACGGCUAACUACGUGCCAGCAGCCGCGGUAAUACGUAGGUCCCGAGCGUUGUCCGGAUUUAUUGGGCGUAAAGCGAGCGCAGGCGGUUCUUUAAAUCUAAAGUUAAAGGCAGUGGCUUAACCAUUGUACGCUUUGGAAACUGGAGGACUUGAGUGCAGAAAGGGAGUGUGUAAUUCCAUGUGUAGCGGUGAAAUACGUAGAUAUAUGGAGGAACACCGGUGGCGAAAGCGGCUCUCUGGUCUGUAACUGACGCUGAGGCUCGAAAGCGUGGGGAGCAAACAGG
rnacentral:rRNA from 1 species